UACGGAGGGUGCAAGCGUUACUCGGAAUCACUGGGCGUAAAGCGCGCGCAGGCGGUUUGAUAAGUUGGAUGUGAAAUCCUAUGGCUUAACCAUAGAACUGCAUCCAAAACUGUCAGACUAGAGUCUGGGAGGGGAAGAUGGAAUUAGUUGUGUAGGGGUAAAAUCCGUAGAGAUAACUAGGAAUAUCAAAGCGAAGGCGAUCUUCUGGAACAGUACUGACGCUGAGGCGCGAAAGCGUGGGGAGCAAACAGGAUUAGAUACCCGGUA
rnacentral:rRNA from 1 species